AGAGUUUGAUCCUGGCUCAGAUUGAACGCUGGCGGCAUGCCUUACACAUGCAAGUCGAACGGCAGCACGGAGAGCUUGCUUUCUGGUGGCGAGUGGCGAACGGGUGAGUAAAGUAUCGGAACAUAUCCUGUGGUGGGGGAUAACUCUUCGAAAGGAGGGCUAAUACCGCAUGAACUCUGAGGAGUAAAGUUGGGGAUCUUAGGACCUGACGCCGUGGGGGUGGCUGAUAUCGGAUUAGCUAGUUGGUGGGGUAAAGGCUUACCAAGGCGACGAUCCAUAGCGGGUCUGAGAGGAUGAUCCGCCACACUGGAACUGAGAGACGGUCCAGACUCCUACGGGAGGCAGCAGUGGGGAAUUUUGGACAAUGGGGGAGACCCUGAUCCAGCAAUGCCGCGUGAGUGAAGAAGGCCUUCGGGUUGUAAAGCUCUUUCGCUUAGGAAGAAAGCUUUUAUAUGAAUAGUGUAGAAGUAUGACGGUACUAAGAGAAGAAGCACCGGCUAACUACGUGCCAGCAGCCGCGGUAAUACGUAGGGUGCGAGCGUUAAUCGGAAUUACUGGGCGUAAAGCGUGUGCAGGUGGUUUUAUAAGACAGUUGUGAAAUCCCCGGGCUUAACCUGGGAAUGGCGGCUGUGACUGUAAGGCUAGAGUAUGGCAGAGGGGGGUGGAAUUCCACGUGUAGCAGUGAAAUGCGUAGAGAUGUGGAGGAACACCGAUGGCGAAGGCAGCCCCCUGGGCUGAUACUGACACUCAUACACGAAAGCGUGGGGAGCAAACAGGAUUAGAUACCCUGGUAGUCCACGCCCUAAACGAUGU
rnacentral:rRNA from 1 species